rnacentral:rRNA from 1 species
AUGGCCGGCGCCGCCGCAGCUCGCGGCCGGUGCGGCUGCUGCUCGCGCCCGUCGCGGCCAGCGCAUCUGCUGCUCGCGCCCGUCGCGGCCGGCGCAUCUGCUGCUCGCGCCCUUCGUGUCCGGCGCCGCUCCUGCACGUACGCACCUCGGCCUCCACCGCGUAUGCUCGUGCCCGUCGUGUCCGGCGCCGCUGCUGCCCGUGCGCACCUCGGCCUCCACUCCUCCGAGCUCCGAACUCACCCGCCGCAUGCUAGCAGGGCCGGCGUGCUGCUGCUCUGCUCGCCGGGCAGCCCAAAUCCAAAUCUUGGACUUGAUUGCUUUUUUGUUUUUUGA